CACACACACACACACACACACCGAGAUACAUACAUACUCUCAGAUACACAAACACACAGAUACAGCCACACAAACACACAUACACACGAAUAUAGCCACAGCCGCACACACAUACUCUCAGAUACACACACACACACACUCAGAUGCACCCACACAUACACCAACACUCUCAGAUACACAAACACACAGAUACAGCCACACGGAUAUAGCCACAGCCGCACACAUACUCUCAGACACACACACACUCUCAGAUACACCCACACACAUUCAGAUACACACACACACACACAUACACUCUCAGAUACACCCACACACAUUCAGAUACAGCCACAGCCACAAACACACACACAAAUACAUUCUCUCACAUACACACACAGAUACAGCCACACACAUACUCUCAGGCACACACACACUCAGAUACAUACAGAGACACAUACAUGCUCUCUCUCUCAUACACAUGCAUACUCUUAGACAGACAGACAGACAGACAGACAGACACACACACACACACACACACACAGAGCUCUCUUUCUUGGCUGAAUUUCAGUUGAAGAGUUAAUCAGAGCAGGAACUGUGGAUCACUGCGCUCCACACCCUUGCCUGGGGGUCAGGCCCAGCCCUGAAAUUGGCAGGUGAAUGCGGGUGGAUUGGUUGGAAAAUCUUAAUUAUCUUCGAAUUUCCUUGCUGCAAAUCCUUACCACGUUAUCCGCAUCCUCACCUUAAGAGCAAGACGAGACAUAAAGCCAGUCACUGUACUGACAGUGAAGCUGAUCAAUCUUGGAGGAGAGCACUAAUUGACAUUUCCAUUAAUAAAAAGCAAUAAAGAUUCAGAAAGCAGCCCAAUUACACCUUCUGGGACCGUCAUCCAUUGGAAUUCUUUCACCAUCGUCAGGAUUUGAAGCCGCAGACCCCGGCCCUGUCAAGUACCCGUAGUUUGAGCCUUAGUAAUUAUUCAGCGUUGUCACAUCAUCACGGACUUGUCCCCCGACCCUAGUUAAGGUGAGUGGAGCCUGUGGCUUUGGCAAACACUAACUGGAACAAGGGAAAGGCCUGAUUAUGCAUGCUGUCAUGCGAGUGUGUGUGCUCCUCUUCAGGUGAGGAGAAGAGCAGGGAGUACAGAGGUCUUCCCUACGGCCACUGACACAACACAGCUUCUCCACUCCAUCUCCACCUGUCAGCUCUGAUCUCCUUCUGAGCCUGAACCGGGUUGGUGGAGACCAGACUGUGGAGACCUACACACGCUACAUGCGUUCAGUCAUGCACACAUGCGAACAGAAUAUUCAAGUGAUUUCCUCUUUUUUUCUGUGAACCGACAGUUUAAGGAACUGAACUGAAAAUUUUACUGGAAAUCAUUACCUUUUUUAACAAUUAAUUUUGUUAUAAAGUAUAAAAUCAGAUGUUGAAGAUUUUCGAUGAUCUGUUCAAGGGAUGGAGGCAGAAACGGUGCCCACACUUCUCUUUUAUAUAACAGAGCAUGUCCGGUGCUCGGCUGUGAAGCAGGCCUGGUGCACAACACAAGAAACGUGCACACCUGGCACAAAGCGAAGCAAAGCGCUCCACUCCAAAAGAUAAUGCUCUCAAAGUGAACUGCCUGUCUCCUGAAUAGAUACAAAGAGCGCAACAGACAUCUGCAAAUAUCUUCGUCUCUUUAUCAACCCAUAAGCGUGUGUAGGAGUCAGUCUCUCAAUCUGUCAGCAUCACAGUUCGAACAGAGAGAUGCGGAGUCCACCAUGAAACAGCGAGAGCCUCACUCUAAUAAUAACAGAGCCGAGCGUGUGGGCGUGCAGAACAGCGAUCGCUGCGGCACUGCUGAUGUUUGAAGUGUGAAAGGUUCGGCGGGUAAACGCGGAUGUGUGCGGCUCGGGUUUGCGAGGCCUUUUGAGAGACGCGGAGAACGAGUCGGAAAAAGAUACAGAAAGCCGAGAGAGACGCGGAGAGAGAGAGCGGGAUUCCUAUGCGGUUUGUGUGUUCACCUCACUUGAGGUGGCUGAUGGAGACCUUUCUCUUGGCUUUUCUCUUUCAAGUCCCACUCACUUUCUUUGUCUUUCUUUGUGCCUGAUCCAGAGGGGUUGGCUGGCUCUCUGACUGCGGGCGAUGUGUUCAGCAUCAGCCUUCAGGGCGGCUCUGAGAUGGAGCAUGGAGUUCUUUAGAUGUGCCGAGAUUUUUUUAUUUUUUUUUAAGGCAUAAACACAGGGACAGCUCGUCUUGGCUGGGGCUACACAAGCUGCACAUCAACUGGGAAUUAAACCCAACAGUGCCAACGGCAAUCCUGCUCCUCUUCCCGCCUCCUGUUCCUGUUCAGAAGAGACAUCCUGUGCAAAUGCAAACUCAAAAUCAAAAUAUGAAAAAAAAAAGCACCAGAGCUGAGUUCUGCAUGCAGAGUGAGGAUUUAGUACUGAAAUUACUUCAGAGUUACACAUGUGGGGCGGAGUUUGAGUAAAACAGAGGCGUGACUCAGUUCUAGGCGACUCCUACCUUGACCUGUUUUUGUUUUAGGGCUUAUUAAAUGCAGGGCCACUGUCAGAGAUUUUGAUGUAUUUAUAAUCAAUCAUGUGGAAAUUAAUGUUUUGGCUGUAAAUAUACCUCAAAACACAUGUAAUGUCCUUCAAGACCAAAUUAACUAUUCCGUAGUAUCAGUCCAUUAAAGUCCAGAAAUGUUUUCCUUUCUGUUUUUUCUAAAUUUGUUUUAUAUUUAUU